rnacentral:rRNA from 1 species
AUGGCCAGCAAGUGGGUCAGGCCCGAGGUGUACCCGCUGUUCGCGGCGACGGGCGUCGCCAUCGGCAUCUGCGCCUUCAGCCUCCUCCGCAACAUCACCGGCAACCCAGAAGUCAGGGUCAACAAGAUGGGGAGGGCAGCGGGAGUGCUUGAGAACCAUGAGGAGGGCAGGCGCUACGCCGAGCAUGGCCUCAGAGCCUAUGUGCAGGACAAGACCCCCGAGAUCAUGCCAGGAAUCAACAAGUUCUUCACCAGCCCGAAAUGA